rnacentral:rRNA from 1 species
CUUUCUUUGCUGGCGACCGGCGCACGGGUGAGUAACACGUAUCCAACCUGCCCUUUACUCGGGGAUAGCCUUUCGAAAGAAAGAUUAAUACCCGAUAGCAUAAUGAUUCCGCAUGGUUUCAUUAUUUAAAGGAUUCCGGUAAAGGAUGGGGAUGCGUUCCAUUAGGUUGUUGGUGGGGUAACGGCCCACCAAGCCUUCGAUGGAUAGGGGUUCUGAGAGGAAGGUCCCCCACAUUGGAACUGAGACACGGUCCAA